rnacentral:lncRNA from 1 species
AUGAAAAGGAGCCGAGUGCUGAAGAGCACUGCAUGGCAUUGUGCUCAAGAGGAAGAAACCAGACACAGAAGUCCACCUGUGUGCAGCAGGACAGUCCAGAGCCGCCGAACCAGCCUGCCUGGCUCCUGGUCCAGCUGUCCCCCGCUGUGCCUUCCAGCUCACACUCCGGUCCCCUCUCUCCUCUGCUGGGAGGCGGAGUCCCAGCGUCAAGACUGGUCCUGCGGCUCCUGCAGGUUCAGCCACCGCAACACUCUCUCUGGGGACUGCUGUGUCCUGAUUUGUAAGUGGCUGGUUGUGGGACAAUCUACUGAAAACACCCAUUGUCCUCAAGGCCCUCCUCCUACCCGCAAGACAGAAUUAAUCACCCCCAACUCAGGCCUUUUCCCUUGGUUCACCGAGGUGGCACCUGUCACAGGGCAUCAUCUGCAGGUCAUCUGUCACCCCCAGGACACAGCCGCUCCAGGGCCCGUUCAGAUUUGCACAGUGCCUUGAAGGAAUUCAGGAAAUGCUACCCCCAAAUAAGCUGCCUUGGCUCACUGAUUACUUUGAACUGAGGCCACUUGGGGCACAGCAGGUGCUGGCCCCAGCUUGCUCAGAACUUCCCUCCCCUGCCUAAAGCUCCAUCAAGAGCAGCUCAGUCGCCAUGCCUACCCUCCCUGCACUCAACGCCGCCAAUCCCAGGGGAGAAGCCCGGAGGUUGG